GCCAGGCGUGGUGGCACAUGCCUGUAAUCCCAGCGGCUUGGGAGGCUGAGGCAGGAGGAUUGUGGGUUCAAAGUCAGCCUCAG
rnacentral:sRNA from 1 species